AUCGAUUUGUCUCCCUAGCUCUCAGUUUUGUAAACUUUUUAACAGUUCCACAUUUUCUGGCCUGUUUCAAAAAUCAGAUAAUGGAGUGAGAAUUCAAAGUAGUAAUAUAAGGAAGAAAGGAAACAGAUUGUGCUGCGAUGAAUUACUUCACAAGUCGUCAAACAAGUUUUUCUUAUACAUGAUUUGAAAAGAAAAUGGGUCUUCUAAUCGGACAAAUCAGAAAGAAAUUUUCUGAAAAGGUGUUAUUUUUCUUUUGUUGUUCUUCUUCUAGUUAUCUUUGUAUGGAAAUUAUUGUUUAUUUCCUUCUGUUUAUGGUUUAAUAUUUUUUUGUUGGAAUUCAUUCUUUUCAUUGGCAGAUGAAGAAUCCCUUGCAAAUUUAAGGAGUCAAGUCUUUGAAAAGCU
rnacentral:lncRNA from 1 species